CGCUACUUGGAUUGGUCGGCGUAGCUUUGGGCGGCCGGACCUUAGAAAGUCACACAUCUGCGCGCCUGUGCGGCCCCUGCUUCUGCGGAUGCUGAGGCACGUAAAAAAAUUUGAAGAAGGGAAUUUCGCGGCAUUCUUGGCCUGGCUUCCUGGCGUAGCCAGCAAGUUCGGAGGUGUUAACCGCUGCUGUCAUGUUUCUUUUGCUAAACUGCAUCGUCGCUGUGUCCCAAAACAUGGGCAUCGGCAAGAACGGGGACCUGCCCAGGCCGCCGCUCAGGAAUGAAUUCAGAGAUGGGCUUUUGCCAUGUUGCACAGACUGGUUUUGAACUCCUGACCAAGUGAUCUGCACUCCUUGGCUUCCCAAAGUGCUGGGAUUACAGAUGUGAGCCACCCUGCCCAGCCAAUGUAACUGCAAUAUUUCAAAAUUGCCGUGUGUGUGUGUGUGUGUGUGUGUGUGUGUGUGUGUGUCUAUGCAAUGUACUUUCUAAAUGGGAAUUAUCUGUAACAUAAAAUAUAUACAAUAUCUGUGAAGCCUAAAAAGCAAUAAAAAAUACAAUCACACUUAGAAACAAAUUAUUAUUCUAAAUAAAUUAGUGUUGUUUGAAACAUUUCACUUCAUAUAAAAACAAAUA
rnacentral:lncRNA from 10 species